AAUGAGGCACGAUUGCUUCAUGUUGAGUGGGAGGACUGGUAAUGGUGAGAAAACAGGGGAGGAAGUGAAUAAAUGAAGUAAAGAGUGAGUUUAUGUUGAAACAGGUUUUGCUGGAAAUUUUACCAGUAACUUCAUCUUGAUUUUGACCCCAUUUAAUGAUGGAAUUAGGAAGUGUCAUAGAAGAGUUAUUUGUUCCUCUAUGUGUUAGCUUUACAUGGGUUUUUGAAUCAUCCAAAUCGGAGUUGUAUAUUGAGAGAUAUNNN
rnacentral:lncRNA from 1 species